GUGAUUGGAUUCUGUUGUACUGUAGACAUAGGAAGAAUAAUCUGUGCUCAUAAUAUCUGUGAAAUUGGCCUGCUGGAAGAUAGAGUUGGAAUGGAGCUGCUAUGGUUUUUUGGGGAUUU